rnacentral:rRNA from 1 species
UACAGAGGUCUCAAGCGUUGUUCGGAUUCAUUGGGCGUAAAGGGCUCGUAGGCGGCCAACUAAGUCAGACGUGAAAUCCCUCGGCUUAACCGGGGAACUGCAUCUGAUACUGGAUGGCUUGAGAUUGGGAGAGGGAUGCGGAAUUCCAGGUGUAGCGGUGAAAUGCGUAGAUAUCUGGAGGAACACCGGUGGCGAAGGCGGCAUCCUGGACCAACACUGACGCUGAGGAGCGAAAGCCAGGGGAGCAAACGGG